rnacentral:lncRNA from 1 species
CAUCAUUUACCGAGAAUAGAGAUUGAUUACGAGAAGGGCGUGAAAUAUUCGGGUUACGAGUAAUACGCUGUGUCCAAGAACGCAAAUCGCAGUAUGUCACAAAUGACACAAAUGUUUGUGAGAAAAACACCUUGGAUUUCUUUUAUUUAUACAAUGACUUUGUGUCAAGAAAUUUGGACUGUGAAUGAAACCCAAAAGCGUAAGAAUCGUGGAACACGUUUGACUGGAAUACAGAAAUUGACACAAGCAUGAACUUUAUAGAUUGGUGACCGUAUUUUGAAUUCAGAAAAUCGACAAACAUACGCAUUUUUAAUUUAUUAAUUUAUAGCAAGC